UAUAAGCUUCUGAACAAUGAUAAGGAUGGUGCCAUUUGACAUUCGGUCAAGGGAUGGAGCAGGAAGGCUUGAGAUGCACAACCCAUAUCUUUAAGGCACUUUCCAUUUGGUAGAGAAAUGGAAAUGUAUGCACACAGCGGCACAUGCGAUGGCAACAGAACCCAUGAGGCCCUGGGGAAAGAAAUGACUUUUCAAGGGCCUGCUGCAAGGGAGGGGCUAAGCCUGGCCUAGAACUCUAGUUUCCUGAAAACUUGAUUUUUUUUGUGUUAUUCUAAUGUGCAGAGGGCCUGUACCAGGCCUACUAAGGAGUGAGCUGAUGCGGCUGAGAGUUUUGGAAUGUGAGGCUGGGAUGACAAGCCUGGGGCCUGGCUCUUCUGUGCUCAGUGAGGACUGCUCCAGCCUCAGCCCCAACUCCCAGCAAAGCCCAGGUGUGGGGAGCAGGGGAGGCGAGACAGAGACGAGGAGGGACAGAAAUGUGGUUUCACCCCGACCCAGCAAUUCCUGUAGCUAGGAAACAUGGCGACUUGGGAUGUCGGUGCCUGCCAGAGGCUUCGGCUUUAUGCCCUGCAUUUUGGAGACCAUAUCUGGAGACGCACAGUGUGAGGGGCGUGGGGAGGCAGGAAUGGGACUGCAGCAGAGAGGGGUUUUGCAACCAGCCUCUGGCUGGUCAGCACAGGAGUGUCAGGUUCUUUGCUGUGGGGCUGCUGGGGAUGAGAGAGGCAGGAAGAACCCCUGUGAAGAACAGUGAGAAGGGUAGGGGCCGGGGACCUACAGGGUGAUGGCAGGCUUUGAAGUGUGUGGAGGGCUGCCGCACCUGAGGCCCAGCUACACCCAGGAGGGAGCAAGCAGCCUGAUGCCUGAGCUGGCCUGGCCCAUUUGCCUCUUGUGGCC
rnacentral:lncRNA from 1 species